ACUUUCAAAUAUUAGGAAGCGGUACCACCUCCACAGAGGGUAGGAACAGGGACUUUGAGCUGAGACACGCUUUGCAGGACAGGCCCUUAGUGAUGUCCUCCCUGUGCCUAUCCUGCCAGGUUUGAUGGCAGCACUUGGCUGGCUGGAAAAGUCACUCCAUGUCACAGACCUGCAGCUAACUCCCAGAAAGCCACACCAUGACACUAGCCAGGCUUAAUCCCCUGCUGCACACACACAAGGUCUGCUGCUUCCCAAGUCUUGAGAUGGCAGCCCAGGCCCUAAAGGCUGCACCGUGGAGGGCAAAGAAUAAACAUCCCGGCACCGCAGGCUGCCGCUGGGCACCCUGCAUUCCCAUGAGAAACUUGCAAAGUCGGAUAAACUGCGUCACAGCAGCCUGCAAACCAGAGGCCUGGGUGGUUUAAAAAUACUGCCUGACACAUAUUUCCCAGGCCAUAUAUAGUUCACACAUCUCACGGUAGCAGGAAGGAGCUGCAAAGACACACAGUGACACAGAGAAGGAAAAAAGCAACGGGAGACACAACUGCCAGCAUGCAACAAAGCCAGGUUAAAAAUAGCUGGGGCUGCAACAGCUCCCUUCUGGUGGGGGGGUACAGGGCCGCUGGCUCUCCCUGCCCUCACUGGCCCCUCUCCCUGCUGCCUAUUUUAUGCCAGGAGGAAAGGGUCAGAAGGAAGCCUUUGGUUCCUGUAGGCAGGAAGAGGGAAAAUGACAGCCCUGCCUACUUUGACACUGAGCAGGCUUACCCAGGCUUGCACAGACACCCGGCUGGACCGGAGCUGCGGGAACCCCUUCCUGAGGGGUGGGAUGGGGGCACAGGAAGAGCACAGCCUUGGAUGGCCUUGCUCACAGCCCCCAGCAGCCACAGGCAUCACUUCAAGCGAUGUGAUGCCACAAUGCCCAGAGAUGUGCUAUCAUACUGCACAGAAGGGAAUGCAGCCUGCACUUUGUCAUUGCAUAAGGAAAGCAGCAACACGCCAAAAGGAGAGAUGUGAACAUCUUCGCCGUCACCUUCUCCUAGCCUGAUACCUUGCAGGGAAAACACAAAUAUGAACAUGAAUAUUAUAGCCAAGUAGCCAACAGAAAGGUUUAAUGAGAUGUUUCUGUGCAGAAAACAG